AUGAGUCUACACUGCCAUAUGAUCCCAUUCAAUGCAGAUAAGAUGGAUUUUAUAUGGCAGUGUAGAUCAGUGGUUCUCAACCUGGGGUACCCGGAUGAUUUUCCUUGGUUCACCGAGGAACUUCGAUCGUUUGGGGAAUCACAGAACAGGUCUUCACUCUUCUUUGUGACAGCCUUCACCAUGUCAUCACCCCCAGCCUUCUCUCUACCAAGCUGAAUAUGCCCAGCUUCUUCAAUGUUUCUUCAUGUGUUCUCCAUGUGUGUUAUCAUCCUUGUUGCUCUUCUCUGAACCUUCUCUCACUUGUCUAUAUCCUUCUUAACAUAAGAACCAAAUACCAUUCUCUAGAGGAGGGCUGACCAGAACCGAAUAUGGUGGGACUUUGAAACUAUGUUUCUCUUAAUGAUGGCUAAAACAGUAUUUGUCUUUGCUGCAUCAUCAUACUACUGCCUUCUAUUCAACUUAUAGCCAACAAUAAUCCUGAGGUCCCUUUUGGGGAUGCAGUUUCCUGAAUUCUAUGUGUGUUCAUUUGAUUUUGUGGCUUAAAAUUUACACUUGUCUCUAUUGAAUUUCCGUCCAAUUUGCUAGUUCUCUAAGGUUGUAUUAAAAUCUUCUCUUAUCUUGCAACAUUUUAAGCACACCUCCCAGUUUUGUAUCUUCUACAGACCUGAGAAGAAUUCAUUUCUCCUCAUCAUCUUCUUAAUAAUUGGGGAAGGAUAAUGGCCUUAGCUCAGAACCUUGUGGAACUGUAUUGAAGACCUCCUUCUAGUUUGAACUGCAGCUAUUGAUUAAUGUUUAUGUUUGAGCAUGGUUUUCCAACUAUUUAUGAAUCCAUCUGAUGGGGUUUCCACUGAUUCCAUAUUUAAUCAGUUUGCUAAUAAAAAUAUGGUAGGGGAGCAAUUCAAACGCUUUGUUGAAAUCCAGCUAAAUGGCAUUCACAGCAAUCCCAGCUUCUUUUAAAUUUGUGACAUAUCUUAGAAAGACAUAAAAUUAGUAUAAGAGGAUUUCAUAUUGAUUAUGGAGUGGCUCCUAAUGACCAUUGCAUUGUGGAGAAGAUACUUGCAGAGAGACUCCUGUACAAUCAGUUGUCCUAGCCAGUGUCAACUCAUUUUGAGCUUUACAUUUUCAUACACUACUCCUGCAAGUCUCAUUUUUAUGUUUCCUUGAGGAUUCACCCUUCUUUCCAUUCUUUAUACAUGAUUUUUUUCCCCUUCCUCCUUGAGUUGUGCAGCCACAUUGGCUUUUUCAAGUGUUCCCCAUUUUAAUUCUUCCAUUGAAUGGUUAGUGAGUUCAGUUUUCACUACUCCUUCUUCAUGAAAUCCCUCCAAGCUGGGUGUCUUUUCCCUUUUCCAUCUCUAGCCAUGGGAUUCUGCCCUGUAUUUUUCUGACCUUGAUAAAAUCAGCUUUCCAGAAAUCCUAACUUCUCUUUUGUCCUCUUUGUCCUCUCACUGCCCAACAAAGCCCGCCUACAUUCAACUUAAUCUCAUAACCUAUUGCCUCCCUUUCUCUAUUAUCCUCUUUUUCCUCUUACCUCCCAACCCCAUAAAUCCAACAAAAGCAAGCUGCUACAGCCUCUCCUAACAUGUGUAUUACUCCUCAUGAAUAACUCCUACUAUCUUAACAACAUUCUGAUGUUGCUUAGCCACAUAGGUCCUGGUUUUCAUCUAUGAGAGGUUGGAGGAUAUUUAAUUUUAACAUUGCAGGGUCACAAUAAUCACAAAAAUAAUCACAAAAACUCAAUCUGCCCACAACUAACUUCAGUGGGAAUGAUAGUUCCCUCUCUUCUUGGACAGGAAUAGGCUAACGUGUUAACUGCCCAAAUAUACCACUGUAACACACUGUGUUGAGCUGACUUUGAGACUGGUAUAGAAAUGUCAGGUAGUGCAGGAUAUGGCAGCUUGGAUUUUCACUAAAUAGCUAUUCACAUAUGACACUGGUAUGAAGAGAACUGCCCUGUUUUCCUAUUAGUCCAUAAGCACAUUUAAUAUUCUACUCCUGACAUGCAGACUUGUAAAUAAUUCACAACUGAGGUACUUAGCAGAUUGCUUUCCUUUACAUAUACCUAUUUGAUCUCAAAACUCUUUGGGUGAGAUUUUAUUGGCUUGUCUACAGCCAUUAGAUGUCUACAGCUAUUGUCUACAGCCAUUGUCUACACUCCAUAACACCACAGGAAGUUUUCCAUAGUGAUCCGUUUUUUAAAAUCCCCAUAUUUGAAGGAGACAGAACAUGUGGUCAGUUCUAAGUAUCUUCUGAAAACUUAUUUACAUAAACUUUACAUGAUUUGUAAGGUUAAUUUUGUUCUUCCAUUUUACUCAUAGUCUGUAUGUAUGUGUGUUUACAGUAACAUGUAUGUAAAUGGCCCAGAGAUUUUAUCAUAGUAAGUGAUAAACAAGUAUUGUAAACAAAAUAAAAUAGAACAAAUAAUUUACUAUCCCAAACCACUUGAUGUUAUUUGCCUCAAGCUAAUGCCACAAUCCACCAACGUGUUGUUCUCAUGUUUGUUUGUUUCUAAUGUACCAUGAAACCGGCAGCCCAGGCAUACAACAAUACUUUUUAGGUCACACACGCAAGUCCAAACCACUGUAUUGACAUACUACAAAUACAUAAGGAUUUCUAUAGCCUUGUUUCAAGGGUACCGGAGGCCUAAGGAAACGGGUAACGCAUGAAAAUAACAGCAGAUGGACACAGUCCUAAGGUUAAUAAAGACUACAAAGUGUUGAUAAAUUGAAUUGAUGACCUGGAAAACAAGCUCAGAUCAAGCUGUUAGAUUAGCAGAAGGUUGCUGAAGGCGUGAAAGCUGCUAUAAUCAUGCUAUUAUUAUUUGUCAAAAUGGAUUAAUGGUGCCAUGGAUGAGAACUUCAAGAUGCUUUUUGUUUUCUUUUUCCUACCGAUCUGACACAGCCACUGUCCUGUAUCUCUGCCUUUAUUAUGUGCUGCAAGCAGCAUUUAUUCAACCAAGAGAGUCCGUCUAAGCUCUGGUUGCGCAGAAAUUAAUGGAUGGACACCACUGAGAUCAAGCUUGCAUCCAUAUGCAUGCAUGUGUCUAAACAAGGUAGAAAAGAAAUGGUAACAAUAAUGGUUGUUUUAUUAUUGUUCUUAUUAUUUCUUAUUAUUUCUUACCCGCCUCUCACUAUGUAUUGAGGCAGGAGACAAGAAGUAAAACUUUAUCAUCCAAUAGACACAUAAUACUUAAAAACACAAACAUCAGUUAAAAAUACACAAUUGCUUAAAAGAGUAUAACAUCAGUUUAAAAACUGUCAUCUUAAAAACAAUUUAUUCAUA
rnacentral:lncRNA from 1 species